rnacentral:lncRNA from 1 species
UCCCAAACACCCUCUAAAUCUGUUUGUUUCCCAUUUAUUUUGGCCAAACGGCUACAAAUAAUUUGUGUGACAACCCAUGUGACUUAACCAGAGAAUAUGACAUUACCCUUUCCACUUCUUGCCCUUCUCCACCGACAAAUCACCAAAACCCAUUUGGGAUAGAGACAACUAGCAAGAAACCAACAACGGUCGAAGACAAAUUCAAGAUUCCAGUGGAAUGCCGUCACCCACACAACCAGCAGAUGAAACUUCUAGUUCCCUUAAGCUCUGGAGAGCACGUCUCAUGGAAGAGCCGUCAACGUUGUCGCCCAACAGAUUGUAGUCGCCUGUAAGGUUAGCUACCUUCUUUGAGCUCGCAUCUCCGCCAACCAAAUGGAUCCCAUCGACACACAGGUACUUCGUUGGUCUCCAACAUUUGUAACACACUCGUCGUCAUUUAUCUGGUUUUUAACAGAAAUUUUUUUCCUUGUGGAACAAAAGGCAUCCCUAAGCGGAUUACUAUGUUAUAUUUGUAAGUGUUAUGCCCUAAAUCCAAUCAAUCUUGGACAUAAAUACUUUUGAUAUAUAAUUAAUGCAAUUUAAUGACAGAUCUAUUAUUUAAUUAAUAAACUUAUUUAAUUAAUAAACAAUUAAAUUAAAUAAUAGAGUACGUAGAUUCAAAUUUUCGUAAUUUGUUAAUCACAAGGAGUUGUGAGUGUGAGAUACAAAUUACAUAUGAUUGAAUCUUAAAUCGUCCGUGGUCAUAAGUAAUAACGAGAUAUGGAUAUCAUUAUUACGGAUAGACCAUCACGUGUGACAUUUCUUACUUCUGAAGUAAGUAACUGAUCUCACAAAUUAAAGUGUGGUGACACUUAAAUGAACACGUGGAUAUUUUGUUAUAGAACAAAAUAUUGGAGACCUGUCGAGAGAUUUCACAUGGAUAACUAUCUGAGUGUCAGUGGUUAAUAUCUAACGUUCGGGAGUGGGAUUGGUCAUUUUGACUUGAGGUCGUCAUAGUACCUUAUAUGAGGACGGUCAUGCUUUAACAGUGUUGGAUGUUACUCUGCCAAGGGCCGCUAAUACGGCAUCAUUCGGGUAUAUCAAGAAUCAUAUGAAAGUUGUGAAUGACCAAUAAAGGAUUUGUUAUUCUUAGAUAGUAAGAAAUUAUGAUCUGCGUUUCAUUCAAUUAAGUCAAUAACGAAAUCAUUGGCCAAUGUGUACUCAUAAGUUGAAAAUGAGUUUUCGACUUACAUUGACUUAAUAGUGGAGUGAAAGAUAUGAUCGAUAAUCGAGAUUGACACACUUUCAUAUCUCGUAAUUGAUUGGAUCAUAUUGACGAAGGGAUUAUAGUUUCACGGUAAACGAACGAAUUUGAUUUUGUUAUACCACGUGACAUUUCUCGUCACAUGUAUAGCCCUGACAUAUUAUUAGAUGUCAAUCUGGGACAGCGAGUGUGAUUGGUGAUAAAUUAAAAUGGUGUUUUAAUUUAUCAAUUUUAAUUAGAUCAAAAUAAUAUUUCACGUCGUUGGGUAUCGUGAUCGGAACUUGAUGGGUCACACACAAAAGGAGAACUGGAAGAUUGUGAUUUGUCAAUUAAUUAAUUUACAAGUGUUGAAUAAAUUAAUUAAUUGGGUUGCUUAUUUAUAGGCUUGAAUUGAUUAAUUGGAUUAAUUAAUUCACGGAUCGAAUUUAAUUAAAUGAGUUAAUUAAAUGUUGGACCGGGUCAGGUCAAGCCCGUUCGGGUUUAUAUAAAUAUGAUUAGAGUUUUCAAAUUUGUAGUGAUUUUUCAUUAUUCUUGCUAGUAUAAGAAAAUCCUUAAUAUUACAAUCUUGUUCUCUAUGUGGAUCACUGUUGGAGGCUGGACAAUUGGACAGAUGUGGGUGGCGAAUCAAGAUCAUUGGAACAAAGAAAAGGGGUUUGCAGAUCUAGAAAAAUGUAUGACUUUUAUCACAAUUUUCAUCUAAACACAAAGAUGAAUCCAGGUGAGAAUCGAAAAUUAUUUUAAUUUUCGCUGCGCAUGUUAAGUAGAUUCUCAAUAGUGGUAUCAGAGUCUACUUUGUAUUUGUUAGAGAUUAUUUUGAAUUUUUAGGCAUAAUCAAAAGUUGAUUUUGUUAUUUUCACAGUUUCUAGCAAUUAAAUAUAUAUAUUCAAAAUCUGAUUUUGAAAAAAAAAAAAGAGGAGGUUGAAUCGGACAUGUAGGUCGGCGCCUCACCGGCGAUAGAGCUCGUUGCCCGGGCAAUGAAAGGUAGCGCCCGCAGCCCGAGUGACGCAAGGUAGCGCCCUGCUCGUUACUGCUACAGUAGCACCGGUGGCGAGAAGUUGCCGCUGUUGGACAGCGGCUGCUUCUGCUACAAAAUCAAUGGACAGCGACCGACGUUGCCCUAAAAAGAAGACGAAACAGGUGGAAAUUAUAGGAUUUCAAUUGGGUGAAAAUUUUAGGGUUCACAGUCGAUUUCAAUUGAAAAUGGGGGCUUGCAUUGUAAUUUCUGAAAUUUAAAGGGGCUGCCUGUAAUUAAAGAAAAAUGUCAAUUUGUAAACUUUAGAUAAGGGACCGUUUUGUGUUAUUUAAUAAAAUUAGGACCCUUGCUUGCAAUUACACUUCAGUGGUAAGUAUGUAAAUAAUGUAAUGAGGGCCUUUUCAAUAUUUGAGAAAUUGGAGGGGCCUAUUUGGUAUUUUUAAAAUGGGUCAAAUAGAAAAUUUUCAAAAGUGUUUUGAAUUUAAAUUUAGAAGUGUUUUAAAUUUGAUUUUCAAAUAUGGUUUGACCGGUAUUUUCAAUUUUGACCCAAUUAGAAUUUUAUUUAAAACUGACUACUUUUUAUAUUUUCGUUAAAAUAUGAUUUUAACUUAAAUAUUAAAUUUGACCCUGAAUUGAAUUUUAUUUUAUUAAUUCAAUUUAAAUUAGAGUUGGACUCUAAUUUAAUACUUAAUUGAAAUUUGAUUUUAAUUAAUUAUUCACCCGAUUAUAUUUUUGAAAUUAGAAUUGGAUUCUAAUAUGAUAUUUAAUUAAAAUUUCAUUUAAUUAAAUUGUGUCACCC